CAUGCAAGUCGAACGAGAGAUGAAGAGCUUGCUCUUCAAAUCGAGUGGCGAACGGGUGAGUAACGCGUGAGGAACCUGCCCCAAAGAGGGGGACAACAGUUGGAAACGACUGCUAAUACCGCAUAAGCCCACGGCUCGGCAUCGAGCAGAGGGAAAAGGAGCAAUCCGCUUUGAGAUGGCCUCGCGUCCGAUUAGCUAGUUGGUGAGGUAAUGGCCCACCAAGGCGACGAUCGGUAGCCGGACUGAGAGGUUGAACGGCCACAUUGGGACUGAGACACGGCCCAGACUCCUACGGGAGGCAGCAGUGGGGAAUAUUGCACAAUGGGGGAAACCCUGAUGCAGCGACGCCGCGUGGAGGAAGAAGGUCUUCGGAUUGUAAACUCCUGUUGUUGAGGAAGAUAAUGACGGUACUCGACAAGGAAGUGACGGCUAACUACGUGCCAGCAGCCGCGGUAAAACGUAGGUCACAAGCGUUGUCCGGAAUUACUGGGUGUAAAGGGAGCGCAGGCGGGAGAACAAGUUGGAAGUGAAAUCCAUGGGCUCAACCCAUGAACUGCUUUCAAAACUGUUUUUCUUGAGUAGUGCAGAGGUAGGCGGAAUUCCCGGUGUAGCGGUGGAAUGCGUAGAUAUCGGGAGGAACACCAGUGGCGAAGGCGGCCUACUGGGCACCAACUGACGCUGAGGCUCGAAAGUGUGGGUAGCAAACAGGAUUAGAUACCCUGGUAGUCCACACCGUAAA
rnacentral:rRNA from 1 species